UGAGAUGUUGGGUUAAGUCCCGCAACGAGCGCAACCCUUGCUCAUAGUUGCCAGCGGUUCGGCCGGGCACUCUAUGGGGACUGCCGGUGAUAAACCGGAGGAAGGUGGGGAUGACGUCAAGUCCUCAUGGCCUUUAUGUCCAGGGCUACACACGUGCUACAAUGGACGGUACAAAGAGUUGCGAUCCCGCGAGGGGGAGCUAAUCUCAAAAAGCCGUUCUCAGUUCGGAUUACAGUCUGCAACUCGACUGUAUGAAGCUGGAAUCGCUAGUAAUCGCGGAUCAGCAUGCCGCGGUGAAUACGUUCCCGGGCCUU
rnacentral:rRNA from 1 species